rnacentral:rRNA from 1 species
UACGAAGGGGGGCUAGCGUUGUUCGGAAUUACUGGGCGUAAAGCGCACGUAGGCGGAUACUUAAGUUAGGGGUGAAAUCCCGGGGCUCAACCCCGGAACUGCCUUUAAUACUGGGUAUCUCGAGUUCGAGAGAGGUGAGUGGAAUUCCGAGUGUAGAGGUGAAAUUCGUAGAUAUUCGGAGGAACACCAGUGGCGAAGGCGGCUCACUGGCUCGAUACUGACGCUGAGGUGCGAAAGCGUGGGGAGCAAACAGG